rnacentral:rRNA from 1 species
GACGAACGCUGGCGGCGUGCCUAAUACAUGCAAGUAGGACGCAGUUGCGAACGGGUGAGUAACGCGUAGGUAACUGCCUCUUAGAGGGGGAUAACUAUUGGAAACGAUAGCUAAUACCGCAUACUAGUAGAUGGACCUGCGUUGUAUUAGCUAGUAGGUAGGGUAAUGGCCUACCUAGGCGACGAUACAUUGCCGACCCGGGGAGGGGGUCGGCCACCAGGGGAAUGGGGAAAGGGCCAAAAUCCUACGGGGAGCAGCAGUAGGGAAUCUUCGGCAAAGGGGGGAAACCUGACCGAACAACGCCGCGUGAGGGAAGAAGGUUUUCGGGUCGUAAAGCUCUGUUGUUAAGGGAGCGGUACUUAACCAGAAAGGGACGGCUAACUACGUGCCAGCAGCCGCGGUAAUAC